AAAGUCGUAACAAGGUCUCCGUAGGUGAACCUGCGGAGGGAUCAUUACCGAGAGGCGCCCUCGAGCGCCGCUUCGGCUCGAACACGCGGAAGAGACCCGUGCUUCGGCGCUCCGGCGCCGCGUCCACGUCAGAAUCGGCCUUACGUCUGAAUGACAUUUGAAUCAAAACUUUCAACAAAGGAUCUCUUGGCUCUC
rnacentral:misc_RNA from 1 species